CACGUAGGGUGCGAGCGUUGUCCGGAUAUUGGGCGUAAAGAGCUCGUAGGUGGUUUGUCGCGUUGUUCGUGAAAACUCACAGCUCAACUGUGGGCGUGCGGGCGAUACGGGCAGACUAGAGUACUGCAGGGGAGACUGGAAUUCCCGGUGUAGUGGUGGAAUGCGCAGAGUAUCAGGAGGAACACCAAUGGCGAAGGCAGCUCGCUGGGACGGUAAGCUGACGCUGGAGGCGCGGAAAGCCAGGGGAGCGAAACGGGA
rnacentral:rRNA from 1 species